rnacentral:rRNA from 1 species
AGUGGCGGACGGGUGAGUAACGCGUGAGAACCUGCCUUGGGGUCGGGGACAACCACUGGAAACGGUGGCUAAUACCGGAUAAGCCGAUUGGUGAAAGAUUUAUUGCCCGAAGAGGAGCUCGCGUCUGAUUAGCUAGUUGGUGAGGUAAGAGCUCACCAAGGCAGCGAUCAGUAGCUGGUCUGAGAGGACGAUCAGCCACACUGGGACUGAGACACGGCCCAGACUCCUACGGGAGGCAGCAGUGGGGAAUUUUCCGCAAUGGGCGAAAGCCUGACGGAGCAAGACCGCGUGAGGGAGGAAGGCUCUUGGGUUGUAAACCUCUUUUCUCAGGGAAGAAGCUCUGACGGUACCUGAGGAAUCAGCCUCGGCUAACUCCGUGCCAGCAGCCGCGGUAAUACGGAGGAGGCAAGCGUUAUCCGGAAUUAUUGGGCGUAAAGCGUCCGCAGGUGGCGAUUCAAGUCUGCUGUCAAAGCACGGGGCUUAACUCCGUAAAGGCAGUGGAAACUGAAUAGCUAGAGUGCCGUAGGGGUAGAGGGAAUUCCCGGUGUAGCGGUGAAAUGCGUAGACAUCGGGAAGAACAUCGGUGGCGAAAGCGCUCUACUGGACGGCAACUGACACUCAGGGACGAAAGCUAGGGGAGCGAAUGGGAUUAGAUACCCC